rnacentral:rRNA from 1 species
GAUGAACGCUAGCGGGAGGCCUAACACAUGCCAGCCGAGCGGUAUUUGUUCUUCGGAACAGAGAGAGCGGCGCACGGGUGCGGAACACGUGUGCAACCUGCCUUUAUCUGGGGGAUAGCCUUUCGAAAGGAAGAUUAAUACCCCAUAAUAUAUUGAGUGGCAUCACUUGAUAUUGAAAACUCCGGUGGAUAGAGAUGGGCACGCGCAAGAUUAGAUAGUUGGUGAGGUAACGGCUCACCAAGUCAAUGAUCUUUAGGGGGCCUGAGAGGGUGAUCCCCCACACUGGUACUGAGACACGGACCAGACUCCUACGGGAGGCAGCAGUGAGGAAUAUUGGACAAUGGGUUAGCGCCUGAUCCAGCCACCCCGCGUGAAGGACGACGGCCCUAUGGGUUGUAAACUUCUUUUGUAUAGGGAUAAACCUACUCUCGUGAGAGUAGCUGAAGGUACUAUACGAAUAAGCACCGGCUAACUCCGUG